rnacentral:rRNA from 1 species
UACGUAGGGGGCAAGCGUUGUCCGGAAUCAUUGGGCGUAAAGAGCGUGUAGGCGGCCUGGUAAGUCCGCUGUGAAAGUCCAGGGCUCAACCCUGGAAUGCCGGUGGAAACUGUCAGGCUCGAGUCCGGAAGAGGCGAGUGGAAUUCCUGGUGUAGCGGUGAAAUGCGCAGAUAUCAGGAGGAACACCAAUGGCGAAGGCAGCUCACUGGGACGGUAUUGACGCUGAGACGCGAAAGCGUGGGGAGCAAACAGG